GUGCCAGCAGCCGCGGUAAUACAGAGGGUGCGAGCGUUGUCCGGAAUCACUGGGCGUAAAGGGCGCGUAGGUGGCUAGGUAAGCGUGUGGUGAAAGUCCGGGGCUCAACCCCGGAUCUGCCGUGCGAACUGCUUAGCUCGAGCAAUGUAGAGGCAGGUGGAAUUUCGGGUGUAGCGGUGGAAUGCGUAGAUAUCCGAAAGAACACCAGUGGCGAAGGCGGCCUGCUGGGCAUUUGCUGACACUGAGGCGCGACAGCGUGGGGAGCAAACAGGAUUAGAUACCCUGGUAGUCC
rnacentral:rRNA from 1 species